GUGCUUGCUGCGGCAGCACAGAUACUAAAACUGGAACCAUACAGACAAGAUUAGCAUGACUCCUGUGCUAGGACGACACGCAAAUUUGUGCAGUGUUCCGCAUUUUU
ensembl:snRNA U6 U6 spliceosomal RNA